rnacentral:sRNA from 1 species
UGUUGAUGCCUAGUCCUUUCCAGUCCAGA